rnacentral:rRNA from 1 species
GAUGAACGCUAGCGGCAGGCCUAAUACAUGCAAGUCGAGGGGUAAAUAUGUAGCAAUAUAUAUGAGACCGGCGCACGGGUGCGUAACACGUAUGCAACCUACCUUUUACUGGGGAAUAGCUCAGAGAAAUCUGAAUUAAUACCCCAUAACACUGCAGAAUGGCAUCAUUUUGCAUUUAAAGCUCCGGCGGUAAAAGAUGGGCAUGCGGAACAUUAGCUAGUUGGUGAGGUAAUGGCUCACCAAGGCUACGAUGUUUAGGGGGUCUGAGAGGAUGAUCCCCCACACUGGUACUGAGGCACGGACCAGACUCCUACGGGAGGCAGCAGUAGGGAAUAUUGGGCAAUGGACGAAAGUCUGACCCAGCCAUGCCGCGUGCAGGAUGAAUGUCCUAUGGAUUGUAAACUACUUUUAUAUGGGAAGAAACCCCUGGAUGCGUCCGGGGCUGACGGUACCAUUUGAAUAAGGAUCGGCUAACUUCGUGCCAGCCGCCGCGGUAACAC